UUCCUUUCUUAAUCCCGAUCCAAUCUCCAAUCCCCUACGCCGCUCCUCUCCCAAGCUCCCACCCCCAUCCGCCUCCGCCGCCCCCACCAUCUACGCAAUAACCUCGCCAUUGAGAGGCCGAAGGAAGCCACUGCAGCGCCGUCGCCGCUGCAGGCCGUCGGGCACGGCAGGAGGAGCCCUCCGUGCGCCUGCUCUUCCCGACGUUGUCGGGUCACCGUCCAUGGUGUGAUCUCCGUUGCCGCGUUUCCUCCCCGAUGCUGCGCCCACGAACGCGGCUAGCCCAUCCAUCUCAUUGACGCCCGUGUCACCACCUUCGUGGUCCUCCUCCAGCGUCCACCGUGGUGGGAGCAGGGUGCAGCCCGACCAUGACGGGUACCUCCUUCCCGCGCUCCCUCGCCUCCCAGCGUCUACUCGUCGUCGUCAGCCACCAUGGUCGGCAAGGCCAACCUCCACGGCAACUGGAUCUGCCACCACAGCCAUGAGGACGACCAUCCUCCAUGGCCACCCCACUGCCCGCCUCACCAUCGGAUCCGCCGUCCUGGGCAUACACUCGCGCAUGAUCGGCAGAUGUAGGCGUCGCGGGCCGCCUCUACAACGACGAGCACUGUGACUGUCAUCUAUCUAUUUCCCUUUUUUGUAGGAUAUCCAGUGAAUUUUUGAAGUUUUGUUCUACUGAUGAACUAGGUGAUGUCAAACUGAUGAACUAAUUUACUUACUAUAAGUUAAUGAACACUCAAUUCAUACUGUUAGAAUUUGUGUUAUAUAGAUUUGGGGCACUUUUAUGUGCAUAGAUGCUUGGCACUUUGAGAAAUAUUGACAGUUUGUUUGCGCAGCACAUCAGUUUUACUAUCAUCACUUUGAGAAAUAUACAAUUCUAGUGCAACCUGUAUUUGCAUUCUAAAUUAGCUACUUCAUCACAUUCAUGCGUGCAUGAGGUUAAUACAUACUCACAUGUAAAAUGGCUGCAUUCUUUAAGGUCCAGUUCCAAACAAAAUUAAGAGGAAUUCAUUUAGUUUGUGUUGAUACCAUAAGCUGGUACGUAUUUUGGCAGUUCAUUCAGUUCCAUUACCUGCCAUCUUUUGCAGCUUCGGGUAUUACAUCUCAAUGUUUUUUGCAUGAUUUUUUUCCAUAUAUUACUUUGAUGUGCCUAAUUUCUGGAGAUGCCUUUUUUUGCUAGUUGUUCAUCUAAGCUUACUGCUGCCUGAUGCCUCAACUGUGGUUUCUAAUCGGCGACAAGUAGUUGUACAAUAUUUGCAUCAUGUUUGAGAGUAAAGUUGAUAAAUCCAUGUAGGCAGAGUUGUGCUUAUUGAUUUUUCAUGCAGUGGGUAGUGCUCUAUUCCCUACUAGUCCAGUGUGCUUGGUGUUGAUGAGGUAACACAGAAACUCGAGGAACCUUGGUGCCUUGUUGUUGUUGAACUUACGGACUUCCGCACUCAAUAGGGAGAAGGUCUCCUAGCUAGCCACGAGAAGGAGCAUGGCUGCCGGUGGUGUCCGGCGUAGACGAAUUAACUCGGUCUGCUUCUCUGCAUUUUUCCCUUUUUGCAGUUGGCGGUGUUCCCAAUAGAAAAGGCAUGUGACUUUCUUAAUAAUUCUGAUUACUAGUCAUGUUUUGUUGACAAAGUAAGCAAGUACUGAAUUUAUAUUCUAACUAAUAUUCUAAUUAGCCAAGAUAUAUGUUUUUAUGCAAAGUUGGUUAUGUAUUUAUCUGUUCUCAGUUGGAUUCAUUAACUGAUUACCUGAUUGCAUCCUUGUCCGAAACUGAGCUUAUAUCAAUUAAGUAUGUUCGCUUUGAAUCGGUUCAUUUGAUAUUGUUGUGCAUGUCGCUUGCAGUUUCUCUUCCCCAAAACUUUGUAUGCUGUAUUUUAUUAGGCUACCAUUAUCAACAAAUUUAACUUUGAUCUACAACUUUAAUCUUUAUGGGGACCAAUAUCUUCUGUUACUAAUAUGUUAACAUUUGUGUUGCAAAUUCUAACCCUUUGCUUGAGGAUGAUGCAAGACAUAUUGUAAGAAGUAGGGAUGAACAAAGGACUGAAACAACUGUUGAUGCCUUCAAAAAGUCACACAAGAGGAAACUAGCAUAUGCUCCUUGUUCUGAUGACGACGAGGGCUAUUCAAUUAUGUUCAAGAGGAAAAUACUCAUUUGUUAAUCUAGUCCAUGUUAUCUAUCAAUGGUACAUGUCGCAUUAGGCUGCUAUGUAGCUCGUGUUAUUUUUUUCUCAUGUAUUAUGCGAAGUAUGAGCAUGGGGUAUGCUAAAGAUCUGGCGGGUCUGGAAGUUGUACUUCAUUAACACAAAUCCGAGUUCUAGAAGAAAGAAUUGAACAGAAAGAUAUAGAGGCAAGAGAUGCAAAUGACAGGGUUGUAGACUUGACAUCCUAUCAAUGUUGGCGAUAUUGCUUAUCGGGAACUUAUCGGUCGACCCAUGAUAAGGGGUAAAUCGGCCAAUUUAUCAGCAUAUCGACCGAUUUAUCGGCAUAUCGGUUGACUUAUCGGCCGAUAUAUCUUAUCGGUCAGACACUGCAUCAGGAGGAGUUAGUUGCAAGACUUGAAGCAUAAGAGAAAGCAUUUGAAGAGAUAUAGAAGAAGCAACAAGAAGAAUUGGAUGCUCUAAAGAAGAGCCGACAAGAGAAGAAUGAAGCUUGGUCAAAGAAGCAACAAGAGCCAGAUAAUCUUAUUAGUUUCCUCUUGAGGGCUCAAGCAACUCAAUAGUUCGAGUCCAAACUUGAUGGUGCAUGAAUGCCAUCCUUCCAUGAUGGAAAGAUAGUUGUUGAAUCAUACAUUGCAAUCAUUGAGACAACACAUGUGGUCUUUAGUUAACUAUUAGUUUUCAUCUUUUUCUA